AUUGAACGCUGGCGGCAGGCCUAACACAUGCAAGUCGGACGGUAGCACAGAGGAGCUUGCUCUUCGGGUGACGAGUGGCGGACGGGUGAGUAAUGUCUGGGGAUCUGCCCGAUAGAGGGGGAUAACCACUGGAAACGGUGGCUAAUACCGCAUAACGUCGCAAGACCAAAGAGGGGGACCUUCGGGCCUCUCACUAUCGGAUGAACCCAGAUGGGAUUAGCUAGUAGGCGGGGUAACGGCCCACCUAGGCGACGAGCCCUAGCUGGUCUGAGGGGAUGACCAGCCACGCUGGAACUGAGACACGGUCCAGACGCCUACGGGAGGCAGCAGGGGGGAAUAUUGAACAAUGGGCGCAAGCCUGAUGCAGCCAUGCCGCGUGUAUGAAGAAGGCCUUCGGGUUGUAAAGUACUUUCAGCGGGGAGGAAGGCGAUGUGGUUAAUAACCGCGUCGAUUGACGUUACCCGCAGAAGAAGCACCGGCUAACUCCGUGCCAGCCGCCGCAGUAA
rnacentral:rRNA from 1 species